rnacentral:ncRNA from 1 species
UCGUCAGGCUCAAUUGGGCUCACUUAGCAGAAACGCUUAGUGGAUAUUCUGUCAAAUUCGGUGAAAUCUUCCCAACUUUAUGGGGUGACAAUACCGAGCCAAGCCCCUUUUUGGGGAAGGUGUAGAGACUAGACGGCAGAUUCCCGACUUUUGUACACAGUGCAAAAAGGGAGAAGGUAUAGUCCAGACCACAAAUCUAUUUUGGAG